UGGCGGGCAGAACAGGGCACCUCUUCGCCAGCUUCGCGCUUCACCGCCUAAAUGCACACUUCUCACAUUACACCAAUGAACCAGCUCGUUUUGUAGGGAAAAAAAAAAAGCGCAUUUUCAUUCAUUGAAAUAACACUUUAGGAGGAGACGGCGUCUGAAGAGGAAAGCAGAAGAUGUUAUUGUGUGGCAAUCUCAGAACAGAGGCAAGGUUUGCAUCUGUUAAUCUAACAUGGCUCCCCUGGGAGCCAGAGACUGGGCAGGACUGAGGUAUAUUCUACUUUGAUUGACUUGAGCGCUAGCAGCAAUCAACCAAUCCGAAGGAGGCUUCUAGUUAUCACAUGGGUUUUUUUCUUGGUUUGACCAAUAAAAGUCCAGAGUUGGGUGGGGCCUGGCCCACCCAACAGUGAGUGAGAGUGUAGGUGUAGGAACCAGGUGUUCGCUGGUUGGUUCCAUCCCCUUCAUCGUGGUGGGGUUGAAGGGUGCAAACGCCGAACACUAACCACAAACACACCCCAUCAACAGCUCCCACUUGGUAUUUGGGCAUUUCGAAUGGUGACUUCCCUCUACGUCAGGUGGCUGUAAGAGAGGCCUAGCCUUAAAAUAGGUGUGUUGAAGUCUAAGUCCCUACUACCUCAGUCUGAGGCUGCUCCUACCCUCACCUCCUAUCCUUCAGCCUCCCUCAGCCCCAGCCCUACAACCAGCUAUAGCCACCAUGAAGUUAAGGUAUAGUGAUAUCUAGAACCUACGUAUCUCUAAGGUCUGAGCCCUGUUUUUUAAUCUUUCUUUCCUUCAUUCCUUCCUUUUUCUUUUUCUUUCUUUCCUCCUUCCUUCCUUUCUUUCUUUCUUUUUUCUUUCUUUCUUUCUACCAAGCUUUACACCCAUCAUGGGGCUUGAACUCAUGACCCCAAGAUCAAGAGUGGCAGGCUCUCCUUACUGAGCCGGUGCCCCUGAACCCUUUUUUACCAAGCCUUUCUUGUUGAUGGGGCUGGAGUGUGAGCACCUGCAAAAUCCCCCACUUUCCCACCUCCUUCAGGCUGUUCUUUGUUUUGGCUAAGACUUGCUUUGCACACUGGAACAGAUGCUGGCUGGAUUCUGAGCGGAAGCCAGAGCUAGAAGCUCAUAAGUUUGGUUCUUACAAGAAGCAGACACCAAAAAGGAGUUAGAAAUGCAAGAGAUUUACUGGGGAAAUUCCUAUGAAAGAUAAAAGGAGUAGGAAAAGUCUUCAGGCCAAGAUACAAUCUGAUACUUUAGGAAAGAGCAGGAAAGGAGAAUGAUUAUGUAGGAGGAGUUUAAAACUGCAGUGUAAUGCUGAGAAAGUCUUAGCCAGCUAAAAAGAGAGCUCCAGCAUAAAGAUUGUUCAUGGAAGAGUUCUACAAUGGUCAGAAAUGACCAGACCCCACUAGUCCUGCCAUCUCAAUCAUUGGCUGGAGCUCCCUGGAAAGUGCACGUUUUGGGAUCGAACACUUUGGAGAAUCGUUAAGUGCCAUGGCUGGCUGCAAGCUGUCAGGAGUGGAAUGCUGAUAAAUGGUUAAUGACUACCUGUCUGGGGGAAGAGAGAGACAGAGCAUGAACGGGCGAGGGGCAGAGAGAGAGGGAGACACAGAAUCGGAAGC